GGCUGAAGGCUCUGCCAGGAGGUUGGAGGCAAUGGAUGACGCUGCUGAUGAUGGUGAUGAAGAUGAUAAUGAAAUGAAGAUGAAGAUGAUGAAGAUGAUGAUGACAAAGAAGAAAAGGAAGAGGAAGAGGAAGAGGAAGAGAAAGAGGAAGGCUGAGGCUGAAGGCUUUGCUAGGAGGUUGGGGGCAUUGGAUGAUGCUGCUGCUGAUGAUGAUGAAGAUGAUGAUGAAGAUGAUGAUGAAGAUGAUGAAGAUAAUGAAGAUGAUGAUGACGAAGAGGAAGAGGAGGGCCGAGGCUGAAGGCUCUGCCGGGAGGUUGGGGGCGUUUGGUGAUGCUGAUGAUGAAGAUGAUGGAGAUGAUGAAGAUGAUGACGAUGACAAUGAUGAUGAAGAUGACGAUGAUGAAGAUGAAGACGCCCCGCCCCCAGCGGCGAUACCGGCGUUAAGGCCACCGGCCGAUGGCGACGGGCGUUAAUUGCGGGAUGCUCCGCCGUUAAUUACGGUUAACGACCC
rnacentral:lncRNA from 1 species